AUUGAACGCUGGCGGCAUGCCUUACACAUGCAAGUCGAACGGCAGCACGGGUGCUUGCACCUGGUGGCGAGUGGCGAACGGGUGAGUAAUACAUCGGAACGUACCUUAUCGUGGGGGAUAACGCAGCGAAAGCUGUGCUAAUACCGCAUACGCCCUGAGGGGGAAGGCGGGGGAUCGCAAGACCUCGCGCGAUUAGAGCGGCCGAUGCCUGAUUAGCUUGUUGGUGGGGUAAAAGCCCACCAAGGCGACGAUCAGUAGCUGGUCUGAGAGGACGAUCAGCCACACGGGGACUGAGACACGGCCCAGACUCCUACGGGGGGCAGCAGUGGGGAAGUUUGGACAAUGGGGGCAACCCUGAUCCAGCAAUGCCGCGUGAGUGAAGAAGGCCUUCGGGUUGUAAAGCUCUUUUGUCAGGGAAGAAACACCGGCUCUAACACAGUCCGGGAAUGACGGUACCUGAAGAAUAAGCACCGGCUAACUACGUGCCAGCCGCCGCCGUAA
rnacentral:rRNA from 1 species